UGCGCAUGAAUUAGGUUGAAGUUGGAAGCUAGUUUCGUAGAGACCUUCCCCAAUCAUCGCCUUCUUCUUCAGCAAAGGGCUCUGUUUUUCAAAAUUCGUUCCACAUUGGAGUCUAAAAGCAUCAGUUCCUCAAACUAGCAAUUUUAUCUGAACAAUGGAGUAAUUGAAAUAGGGAAAAUAAUGAAAGGACUAUUGUUGGGACAUAAGCUGGUGGUUGGAGGUUCGAAAAGAUAACAAUCGUCUCCUUUUUUAGUGGAUAGAUGCGUUGGAAAAGCAAUUCCUAAGGAGUCUUAGAAUUAGAAUCCAAGUCCUCUUAUUUGGAGAAAUUUGACAAUGUGAUUCAAUGUCAGAGAAGUAGAAUAUAUAUAUUAAUCGCACAAAGAGACUAUGCUCAUAUGGACAAGCAAAUUGCAAAGAAUGUUGCUGCCUCCAUAACUAAAGAGAAAGACCUAAUCGCUAAGGGGCUAGCUUUUUGUGAUUAUGAAAUUUCAUUGUAGAUCUAAUGACUGAUAAUUUUGUUUUCAAAUAGGAUAUGCUAUUGUAUUUUGUUAUAUUAAUCAGAUUUGGGGGAAAAAAGAUUUUAUUUUGUCAAAUUGAACCAAUAGUUUGAUAAAACUUUAUUUGAGCUGCACUUGAAAGAAUCAAACAGCUUUAGUUUAAAUUUUCAAUUCCAUCCAUGUUCCAGUCAUCAAUGUAUUUGCUUUUUCCCUUGUGAUUGUGAUUUAUGUGGCUGAAAUUGAUAUGUUUUAAAUAUACAUAGGACUUGCAAGGCUUCUUCUGAAUGUGCCCUAUUGCAUUCUGGGAGCAUAGAUUUUGACCUUGACUUUGGAUUAAUGGCUUUCGGCAUGUGGCUUACUGUCUCCUGAAACUAACAAGAAUAUUAAAAAUGUUCAAAAGGAUGCUUUUGAGAGAAUGGUGCAAUUAUUUGGCUUGUAGAAUUGGAAAAAUGUGAUGAGAUGGUUUGGUUAGCAAAGGGUUUGAAUGAAUAUGUAGAGCAUUACUCUAUCUGUGAGGUUCAAUUUUUGGUCUUCGAAUAUGAAGGGGACUCCAUUUCCCGUGUCACCAUAAUUGAUGAAAGGAUGUCCGAGAUAGAAUAUCCGCCAAUUAGUGUUGAUAUGAGGAACCGAGCCUCAGCAAUUAUGGAAUUGUCUUGCUGAAAGUGGAGAAUGCCUUCGAUUGCCAUGACCUUUCAGUCGAGCUUGAAGUCCGGGGGGAUGAAUUGCAUUCAGCCAAGUGUCCUCGGUUUUGUAUGGAAAUCGAAUCUGACCAGGUUUGCAAAGUUCAUGGCGGUUCCUAUGCAGAGUUUGGGAGGGACAGAAGUUCCAAUUGCUCAUCACAAGAUUUUCCAGAUCUCCCGUGUAUGCAUAUAUAUGUGAUGAGACUGAAUGGGCCGGCGAUUGCUGUGGUGUUUCGGUUGAGCUUGAAGUCUUGGGUGAUGAAUUGCAUCCAGUCAAGUGUCCUCAGCUUUGUAUGGCAAUGGAAUAUGAUUAGGAACUCUCCACGUCGUUAGGCUAAGAGAAAUUGUGUUGGAGCUAAUUCAUUAUUGUAAUGUUUCUUUGUCUAUAGCUCUCCCCUGUGUACAUAUGUAUGUGUUGGGGAGUCUCAUAAAUAAUGGAAACGAACCGAGCCAGUCAUAUCAGAUUCCAUUGUGAUGAAAAUGGAUUGGUGUGUAUAUAGGCCUCAGGAAGCUAGACCAUUAGUAAGCUAAGAGAGUCAAGGCUUGUGAAGAGCUCUCGAACUGGCCAGCAUAUUUAUACUCGAUUAUCCUUUCUUCCAAAUUGUGAUGAGGUGAAUAUAUCUGAAAA